UUUGCCCAACUUCUGUUUAGUGUGUGUGUGUGUGUGUGUGUAUGUGUGUAUACAUGUAACUUAAAUGUACCUAUGUUUACUGUUAAAUAUUAUAAUUGUCUGCUCAUUGUAUCUCAUUCCAGACUAAAAAAACAAUAAGUCUCAUGUUUUAAAUUGGUAUGUACUUUUAAGUCUCUUACAAAAAUACUAUAUAUUUGAUUCAACCUUGCUUUAAAAUAUAUUAAACAGUUCUCGACUAUUGUCAAUUCUACUGUUAAGCUUUAUUGCAAGCGUUUUUUUUUAAUUAUUUCUGUCUUUUACAAUUAUAAAUCUUACCUGUUAAGUUGAGAGCCAGUACAGUCAAGCUUGGACCCAGCUCUCCAAGCAGAUUCUAUAACUUAUCUAUACCCGGUAAACAGCCCUCAACUGCCCAGAGAUCUGGGGAAUAUGCCAUUUAAAUGUUUAAUUAUUAAAAAGGUUUCAUAACAAAAAGAGACAGGUUGGCUCCUAGCAACAGCACUCCACUUGCUCCAAAGAAGACAGAAGACAGAUGGGCACAGAAUAAUAUCUAUCUGCAAUUCACUUCAACUGCCAAGCAUUGACCACUGGGAAAAACUGCCUUUCAUCUAAACUGAAGAUCUCCAGAAAGAAUCACCAGUAUUGACAGCUGCUGCUUAGGUCAAGGUAUAAGAGACACCAGGCAUUUCCAUACCACAAACACCAGGCAGGAGCAAAGAGACCAGCUACCCCAGGAUGUGACCAGCACCCAGCUUUCUCAGAGCCCUCCCCCCAAGAUGACACCCACAAAUAAGUAAGAAGCAGUCUUGAGAAUCUGUCGUCCCAAUUCCUUUAACCCGUGGUGCCUAACUUCCCACCUUUUUUUAUUAUAAAAAAGAGAUGGGAAUGUAAUGAUAUGAUCUGUUACUUUAAGAGACAAGCCCCUCCCACUCCCCCCUUCUGCAGAGGCAAGCAAAUCUUCCUAUUGCUUCCAGCCUGCAUUCUUUCUGCCCCAUCUCUUCAGAAGAGGUGGCUGCUGCCAUGGCUCCUCUCCUCUCCUCUCUACCCUCUCCUCCCCCUUCUCUCUCUAUUUCUCUCUCUAUUUCUCUCUCUCUCUCUCUCUCUCGCUCUCGCUCUCUCUCUCUUUCUCUCUCUCUCCCUCACUCCCUUCCCUUUCCUCCUAUAACCCACUGAAUAAACUAUACCCAAGCCCUCUCUCUGCAUGGCAUGCCUAUCCAUUUCUGUCUCUCACCUGCUGUGGCUCCUUGUGGGACCAGCUGCCCCUCUGCUAACUUCCCACCUGCCUGAGACCCACAGAGGCCUCAGGUGGUGGAACCCAGCUGCACCAUUUUACCAUAACAUUGAUGCUAUGACUCAGAUUUGAACUGAGGUUGCAUGUGAGUCACAGCACCAAAUGUUAGAUAAAACACUGCAGUUCCCUGGGGGGCACAGCAGACCACAAGGGGCAGCGGGUCCCAGGCAGGGAGUCGCAUGGCAGGUGAGAGACCUUGAUGGGUGGGCAGUGGGGUAGCCAGUCCCAUGAGGAGUUGCAACAUGUGAGAGACAGAGACAGAUAGGCACGCUAUGUAGAGAGAAGAUUUUGGUAUAGUUUAUUCAGUGGGCUGUGGGGAGAAAGGGAAGGUGAGGAAGGAAAGGAGACAUGGCAGCAGCCACCUCUUCUGAAGAGACGGGGCAGAAAGAGAGUAGGCUGGAAGUGGAAGGAAGAUCUGCUUGCCUCAGCGGAAGGUAAGAGUGGGUGGGGCUUGUCUCUUAAAGGGAUAGGACAGACCAUUACAAGAAGACCCACCCCGAGUGCAUGGAAGUAUGUGUGUGUAUUCUGUGGGCUGGGCUCCCAGAGUGAACAAAAAAGACAGUGAGUGAAGCACCAGCAUUUCACCUCUCUCUUCUGACUACUGACGCAAUGUGAUGAGCAACCUCAUGCUUGUGCAGCCAUGUCUUCCCCUCCAUGAUUGUGUGCCUUCAUGAACCAUCAGUCAAAAAUAAACCCUCCUCUUCAUUGGUUCUGUCGGGUGUUGAUGUGGGAGUGUCAUAUAUCAAUCUGUUGAUUUCAUUGGUUAAGUUAUAAUAAACCAGCUGCUUGGCCUCAUGGCUGGAACAUAGAUGGGAGGAGUAAACAGAAUAGAAUUCUGGGCGGAAGAGGAAGUGAGGUCAGACUCUGCUCUGCUUCCGGAGAGACCCGACAGCUCUGCUGGAGCAGAGACGCCAUGCUCAGCUCUCCCAGGCAACUCCAACCCACGAUGGACUUAGGCUAGAAUCUUCCCGGUCAGACCUGUGUAAAUGCCUGACUGCUAGCACCUUCACUACACCAGACUGUGUUCGCUACUUUUAACUGGUACACAAUGUCGCCCAUGAACAGCCUCCAAGGAGAAGUCUUUGUUUGGUUCAGCUUUCAAGGUCUCAAUUGGUGUUUUCCUUGCCUGCCUUGUGGAGAAGAGAAGGUUCUUUACUUCAUAUUGGACAGGAAGUAGAGAAAAGGGGGUGAUGUGGGAUUCUCCUCUGUAUGCUGUGAAUAUCACUGGUUAAUAAAGGAACUGCUUUGUGCCUAUAGCAGAAGAACAGAGCUAGGCAGGGAAAACUAAACUGAAUGCUGGGAGAAAGGAGGAGGAGUUAGAGAG